CCCUACGGGGCGCAGCAGUGAGGAAUAUUGGUCAAUGGUCGGGAGACUGAACCAGCCAAGCCGCGUGAGGGAGGAAGGUACAGAGUAUCGUAAACCUCUUUUGUCAGGGAACAAAGGCGGGGACGUGUCCCCGGAUGAGUGUACCUGAAGAAAAAGCAUCGGCUAACUCCGUGCCAGCAGCCGCGGUAAUACGGAGGAUGCGAGCGUUAUCCGGAUUUAUUGGGUUUAAAGGGUGCGCAGGCGGUCUGUUAAGUCAGCGGUCAAAGCCCGGGGCUCAACCCCGGCCCGCCGUUGUCACUGGCAGU
rnacentral:rRNA from 1 species